UACGGAGGGUGCAAGCAUUAAUCGGAUUUAUUGGGCGUAAAGGGCGUGUAGGCGGGAAUAUAAGUCAGAUGUGAAAGCCCGGGGCUCAACCCCGGAAUAGCAUUUGAAACUGUAUACCUAGAGGGUAGGCGGAGAAAACGGAAUUCCACGUGUAGCGGUGAAAUGCGUAGAUAUGUGGAAGAACACCGGUGGCGAAGGCGGUUUUCUAGCUUAUUCCUGACGCUGAGGCGCGAAAGCAAGGGGAGCAAACAGG
rnacentral:rRNA from 1 species